CAGACGGUUGGUCGCCCUGGCAAACAACCGAUCUCGGAUUGUAGCGGGUGCGCAUUAAAUUUGAGCAGACGACGGAACGUGCAGUCUUUAGGAAUUCAAUCUGCAUACACGACAUACUGUGUGUGCAA